rnacentral:ncRNA from 1 species
AAAAACGCGAUGAACAAGAGUAGUAAGGGCUCACUUGUACGGUACAGAAAGCUGCGGGUUGAUGCGACGCAGACCGUGAAUGCCCCGAACUCGCUUGGAAGCGGUCAUCUUGAUCAGCCAGUUAAACGCUGUUAGGGAUGAACGGAUGACCUCCGUGAUCGGGUGACAUAGCCAGCUCUUGCUGCGCUAUGUCUGAGGUGGACUCCGUGACUUGGAGCCAACAAGAGUGGUACCGCGCUGGGUGAAGACCCGUCGUCUCUUAU